GACGAACGCUGGCGGCGUGCCUAAUACAUGCAAGUCGAGCGAAGCGGCGGCUUGGUGAGUAACGCGUGGGUAACCUGCCCUUAAGUCUGGGAUUCCAUUUGGAAACAGAUGCUAAUACCGGAUACUAAAGGAUGGACCUGCGCUGCAUUAGCUAGUUGGUAAGGUAACGGCUUACCAAGGCGAUGAUGCAUAGUAGAGUGGAGAGACUGAGCGGCCACAUUGGGACUGAGACACGGCCCAAACGCCUACGGGAGGCAGGAGUAGGUAAUCUUCCACAAGGGACGAAAGUCUGAUGGAGCAACGCCGGGUGAGUGAAGAAGGUUUUCGGAGCGUAAAGCUGUGUUGUUGGUGAAGCGGUAAUCAACCAGAAAGUCACGGCGAACUACGUGCCAGCAGCGGCGUAAUUC
rnacentral:rRNA from 1 species